UGGCGCCUGGUUUUGGUGGCGCUCGAGCACUGUGCUCACUUUGGCUGCCGUCUACAUCCUGCCGAGAGUCACUCCGAUGAAACCGUGCUCAUGCACAUGCGCUGUUACAAUACAGCGUGGUAAUCA